rnacentral:lncRNA from 10 species
GAUGGUCGCAAGAUGGCGGCGCUGAAGGAGGAUAGGAGCUACGGGCUGUCGUGCGGGCGGGUUAGCGACGGCAGCAAGGUGUCGGUGUUCCACGUGAAGCUCACCGACAGUGCCCUGAGGGCCUUCGAGAGCUACCGCGCCAGACAGGAUUCUGUUUCACUGAGGCCAUCUAUCCGAUUUCAAGGAAGCCAAGGGGUAAGUUUUUGUCUUAAUCAUUCAUAUUUGGAAUCUUGGGACUGGUAUAGUCUCAGGUCUGUCCUUGCUCGCUGGGUACAGCAGCAGCUCAUGGCAGUGUUUGGGCCCUGUCUGCCACCAUGCAAGGCUGGGUUCUAGGCCCCCAGGAUAGCCCCUUGGCUGGGGCCACACCAGGACGUGUCGGGUGCACGUCACAGGCUGCUUGGGCAAUGGGCGGCUCUCCUCUCCCAGUGGCUCCCUUCAUGCAGCGAUGUGCACCUAGCUUCCACUCUGAUAGGGCAGGGGCCCCCAACCCCCAGCACUGGACUGGUUAGGAACUGCCCACACAGCAGGAGGUGAGCUGUGGGUGAGUGAGCACGACCACCUGAGCUCUGCCUCCUGUCAGCUGAGCCUGUUAUUAGAUUCUUACAGGAGCGCGAACCCUAUUG